UAUUAGCUAGUUGGUGAGAUAACAGCCCACCAAGGCUGCGAUGGGUAGCCGUCCUGAGAGGGUGAACGUGCACACUGGGACUGAGAUACGGCCCAGACUCCUACGGGAGGCAGCAGUAGGGAAUAUUGCGCAAUGCCCGAAAGGGUGACGCAGCGACGCCGCGUGGGUGAUGAAGCUUCUUGGAGCGUAAAGCCCUUUCAGAAGGGAAGAACCGCAUGGAGGUGAACCUCCGUGCCUGACGGUACCUUCAGAAGAAGCUCCGGCUAACUCCGUGCCAGCAGCCGCGGUAAUACGGAGGGAGCAAGCGUUGUUCGGAAUCACUGGGCGUAAAGGGCGCGUAGGCGGACCGGUGAGUCAGGUGUGAAAACCCGGGGCUUAACCCCGGGCCUGCACUUGAUACUAUCGGUCUUGAGUACGAGAGAGGAAAGCGGAAUUCCAGGUGUAGCGGUGAAAUGCGUAGAUAUCUGGGAGAACACCGGUGGCGAAUGCGGCUUUCUGGCUCGAUACUGACGCUGAUGCGCGAAGGCUAUGGGAGGCAAACAGGAUUAGAUACCCUGGUAGUCCUAGCGGUAAACGAUGGGCACUAUGUGUUGGAUGACUUAACCCUUCAGUGCCGCAAAUUAACGCCAUUAUGUUGCCCGUCCUGGGAAGUACGAUCGGCAGAUUGAAACUCCAAGGAAUUUGACGGGGCCCCGCACAAGCAGUGGAGUAUGUGGUUUAAUUCGAUGCAACGCGAA
rnacentral:rRNA from 1 species